CAUGAUUUGGGUGGUCCAUCUGCCAGCUGUAGCAUGGCUUAAGUUGGGAGCCUGAGCCCGUGAGUGAGAAGUCAUCUUUCAUCCUCAGCAGGGCAGAGCUGGGCCCCUGCUGAAGGCUUCUGACAAUGCUGCUCUGCAGUCGUGGAUCUGGUCCUGUCACCUCCUGUGAACUCACUGUCUCACCACUUGAGAGACUGCAAGAUCUGGCAGCUCUGCUCACCUCCAGCGCUGAACCCAGCGAAGGAAAGGCCUUGUGUGCCCCAUAAUGACGUGGACGCUUUCCUGCCCUGCAAUGGCUCAGCCCUUCUGCCAAGGUGCUGGGCCUUGCUUACAGAGAGACAGCAGCUUGGAGGAUGGAGGUAGUAGAAAGGAGAUGCCUUUGAACAUGAGCAGAAUAACCAGAAUACAGCACUUCAUAUACAGUACAAGACUGAUUUUAUGAGCCCACAGCCCUGGAAGCUGGUUUCCACCAGGAGGGGCCACUGUGCCUUUCCCAUUAUUGCCUGAGCUCUGGCACUGCUCCACACCAUGCAGGAGAGGGAUAGCUAAAGAAGGAUGGGCAGAGUGAAAUUUCACCCAAAGCAGUUUUAUUCAGCCGUCCCCACAUUCUCCUGAAACCUCUCCCUGCCUCACUUCUGCUAAGCCCUGUUGGAGAACCAGAGCAGAGAUGACACAAUCCCAGUGGAGCACUUACCGAUGGUUGGCACCAGGAGAACAUCUGGUGUGGGCAGUGGCUGGAGCUCAGCAUCCUAGCAAGGUGCUUUCUGGAAGGAAGGAACACCUGAGAGCUCUCAUCCCUGAGAAUAACUCCCUGUGCAUUAGCACCACCAAACUACUGAGGAAUUCCAGGCCACAUGUGACCUCUGGCUCUGCAAGGAUCAGCCUCACUGGAGCUCCUCCGUGUGACAUGUGAAGCUCCCGUGUCGCAACAGCCCCGCUACCAGCUCCUGGGUAGGAAAGCAAGUGGAAAAGUACUGCUGAGAUGGACUUCCCUCACCCCCUCAUCAAGGGCCAAUGACACAAUGGAGCAUGCCUGGUAUCCUGCAUUUCCCAAGCGGCCUCUGCUAGGGAGGGACCUCUUCCACGUCUGCAAUAGAUGGGGCUGAUAACGUGUGCCCACGGCAACACUGAGGAGUAGGUCACACGAGGCAUUGCUGGGGAUGGCAGCAUCAGGAAUUAUGUCACGUCUGGUUGAUCAAUGUAUCACCACCUCCACUGCAGAAGGGAUCAGAGCAGCUAUAAAUAGUUUCGGUAACCUGUCCCCUGUGAAGGACUGUAAAGAAUACUGGUUUUUAGGUCACAAAACAAGCAAUUAUGUACCAAGAGGAAAUUGCCCAAGUAUUUGCCAUGUGUGGUUGCUUUUCUUGAAUUCACCUUCAUGGUGUGUCAGUUCCAGAGGGUCAGUCGUGUUUCCCAAAGACACGUGUUUCUGUAACGACACUGGGUGUCCAGUUAAACCCUGCAGUCUGACCCUGCCCUGGGAAAUGUGGUGGGGAUGGGGACAGCAGGCUGGGAGCCCCUGAGCAACUUCUGCUGAUGCCUGCCUUUCCUUGCAUCUAAUGGCUGCUCCACAGCUUCCACAGGCUGCCAAGGAGCUGAGCCCUCUGCCUCUUGUAGUAGUCCUGCUUCUAAAACGAGUAAUACUGACUGGGAGAGAGGUGAUGAACAGCAGCCUACUCUGAGCCCCCUCUGGAGCCUUCUUGUGUUUCACGAGGCUUUUCUGGUAGGACAAAAAAAAGGCAGGAGAAGCCCACCCGUGGGGAGAGUUCUGAUGGCAGGAAGGAAGUGGUUAGCAGGUGACAUUCAGAGCUCCCACUCACAGCCAGCCCUUCCCUACCAAAGGGAAGUGCUCCUGCUUUGAAGUUUAUUUGGAAAGCUUUAAAAAUACUUACUAAUUCAGGAACACUUUGCAAUGUAAAUAUGCUCCCUUGGUACACUAAGAAUUAGAUAACAAGCUCAUACCUCUUUUAGGAACAGAGCUUGUCACUGCCACAGCCUCUCAGAGGCCUUGAGUUAUUCUUUUCCCUCUAUUUAUAACAAGUGGUUUCUCUGCCAAAAAAAAAUCCAUGUGGAAAUGUGCAUGUUUAGUGUCUCUGUGAUCAGUUUUGUGUCCCAUCUCUGCCACUAGACAGAGAACUCCAAAAUUCACCCAGCCCAGUCCAUCUUUGCCAGCAGACAGUUGAAAUGAAUUCCCAUUUCCCAGCCAAAGGAGUAAGUGGCCCCUGUGAGGACAGUCCUUCCCCGUUGUGUUGCAGGGCCUGAGCCGUGGCAGAGUCUGCAGGAGGACGGGUGGGUCACGCACCACAGCGAGCUGCAGUGGAGCCAGGUGCCACAUGGGAGAAGGUCAAUAAAGCAGCAAACCCUGGAAGUCAAACAGCUCUUCAGGGGUCAUUUGCUCAGAAUGAGAACCCAGCUAUUCAGGACCAGUAGAGCCAAGGUUAAAGUAUCUGCUGGUAAAUCCCUUGGCAAGGAGCUGACCAGAAAACUGAAGUUAUCAGAGCAGCUGAAGGAACUCAGCAAGCUGUUACCUCCAGCCACUCCAAGCAUCCAAGGAUCUCACAGGAGGAAUGCAGAUGCUUAAUUCUGUAAGUGACAAAUGCAGCACACACAUCUGACACUGCCAUUCCAAGCACAUACAUUCCCAGGCCUAAGCCAGGCAAGAACACAGUAACUCACUCACACGUGCUCAGAGAGGUGGGCUGAUGUUUUAACUGUCACUUUUCAGCAGACACUGAAGCCCUGCUACUUGGUCCAUCUGGUUUUGCUUGGUUUGUUACUACCAGUGUAAGUUUUGCUCCUUCUACCCAGUGACCCAGGUCUGAUUACCCACUGUAGGUAGGGGUAAACCUCAUGUAAACAUGUCCUAAUAGCUGGUGCAGAAGCACAAGACCAAGUCUUAGACUUUACC